GUGUUCUCUUUGGCAACACAUAUACUGAAAUUGGAAUGAUACAGAGAUUAGCAUGGCCCCUGCACAAGGAUGACAUGCAAAUUCAUGAAGUGCUCCAUAUUUUU